GGUUGGCUAAUCCUGGUCGGACAUCAGGAGGUUAGUGCAAUGGCAUAAGCCAGCUUGACUGCGAGCGUGACGGCGCGAGCAGGUGCGAAAGCAGGUCAUAGUGAUCCGGUGGUUCUGAAUGGAAGGGCCAUCGCUCAACGGAUAAAAGGUACUCCGGGGAUAACAGGCUGAUACCGCCCAAGAGUUCAUAUCGACGGCGGUGUUUGGCACCUCGAUGUCGGCUCAUCACAUCCUGGGGCUGAAGUAGGUCCCAAGGGUAUGGCUGUUCGCCAUUUAAAGUGGUACGCGAGCUGGGUUUAGAACGUCGUGAGACAGUUCGGUCCCUAUCUGCCGUGGGCGCUGGAGAACUGAGGGGGGCUGCUCCUAGUACGAGAGGACCGGAGUGGACGCAUCACUGGUGUUCGGGUUGUCAUGCCAAUGGCACUGCCCGGUAGCUAAAUGCGGAAGAGAUAAGUGCUGAAAGCAUCUAAGCACGAAACUUGCCCCGAGAUGAGUUCUCCCUGAGACUUUAGGUCUCCUGAAGGAACGUUGAAGACGACGACGUUGAUAGGCCGGGUGUGUAAGCGCAGCGAUGCGUUGAGCUAACCGGU
rnacentral:rRNA from 1 species